GGACUCAACCUGGAGCACUACAUCCUCACAAUCAUGUCAGUAGUCGCUGCGAUCUACAGAGACCCCAGUGUAGGAAACCUCAUCAACAUCAUGAUCGUCAAACUCAUCGUCAUACACAACGAACAGGAAGGGCCGAAUAUAAACUUCUACGCCACUGC